CAAGUCGAGCGGGAACUGGUGUUGCUACUGGUUUCUAGCGGCGGACGGGUGAGUAACGCGUGAGCACCUGCCUUUAUCAGGGGGAUAACGCAUCGAAAGAUGUGCUAAUACCGCGUAAGUUCACAUGGACAAAGGAGCAAUCCGGAUAAAGAUGGGCUCGCGUCCGAUUAGCUAGUUGGUGAGAUAACAGCCCACCAAGGCGACGAUCGGUAGCCGACCUGAGAGGGUGAUCGGCCACAUUGGAACUGAGAGACGGUCCAGACUCCUACGGGAGGCAGCAGUGGGGAAUAUUGGGCAAUGGGCGAAAGCCUGACCCAGCAACGCCGCGUGAGGGAAGAAGGGUUUCGGCUCGUAAACCUCUGUCCUAUGGGACGAAGGAAGUGACGGUACCAUAGGAGGAAGCCCCGGCUAACUACGUGCCAGCAGCCGCGGUAAUACGUAGGGGGCGAGCGUUGUCCGGAAUGAUUGGGCGUAAAGGGCGCGUAGGCGGCCUGCUAAGUCUGGAGUGAAAGUCCUGCUUUCAAGGUGGGAAUUGCUUUGGAUACUGGUGGGCUGGAGUGCAGGAGAGGAAAGCGGAAUUACCGGUGUAGCGGUGAAAUGCGUAGAGAUCGGUAGGAACACCAGUGGCGAAGGCGGCUUUCUGGACUGAAACUGACGCUGAGGCGCGAAAGCGUGGGGAGCAAACAGGAUUAGAUACCCUGGUAGUCCACGCGGUAAACGAUGAAUGCUAGGUG
rnacentral:rRNA from 1 species